AGUCGCAUGGUCUAGUGGUAUGACGUUUCCUUCACAUCACGUACUUCUAGAAGUGCGGAAAAGGUCCUGGGUUCGAUCCCCAGUGCGACUA